UACGUAGGGGGCAAGCGUUGUCCGGAAUCAUUGGGCGUAAAGAGCGUGUAGGCGGCUUGGUAAGUCCGCUGUGAAAGUCCAGGGCUCAACCCUGGAAUGCCGGUGGAAACUGUCAAGCUUGAGUCCGGAAGAGGCGAGUGGAAUUCCUGGUGUAGCGGUGAAAUGCGCAGAUAUCAGGAGGAACACCAUGGCGAAGGCAGCUCGCUGGGACGGUACUGACGCUGAGACGCGAAGCGUGGGAGCGAACAGG
rnacentral:rRNA from 1 species